UUGUACCUACGGGGGGCAGCAGUAGGGAAUUUUCGGCAAUGGGGGGAACCUUGACCGAGCAACGCCGCGUGAACGAAGAAGUUAUUCGUAAUGUAAAGUUCUUUUAUCAGGGAAGAAAGAGGAAUUUGACGGUACCUGAGGAAUAAGCUCCGGCUAACUACGUGCCAGCAGCCGCGGUAAUACGUAGGGAGCGAGCGUUAUCCGGAAUUAUUGGGCGUAAAGGUUGCGUAGAUGGCAUAGUAAGUCUUUUUUAAAA
rnacentral:rRNA from 1 species